UUUCUCAUUUCGCAGUGCUACAAU
rnacentral:other from 1 species